rnacentral:rRNA from 1 species
GGAGUCUGGGCCGUGUCUCAGUCCCAAUGUGGCCGUUCAACCUCUCAGUCCGGCUACCGAUCGUCGCCUUGGUGGGCCGUUACCCCGCCAACAAGCUAAUCGGACGCGAGUCCAUCUUUGAGCGAUAAAAUCUUUGAUAUACCGACCAUGCGAUCAAUAUAUGUUAUGCGGUAUUAGCGUUCUUUUCAGAACGUUAUUCCCCUCUCAAAGGCAGGUUACUCACGCGUUACUCACCCGUCCGCCACUAAACUAAAAUUCCGUUUCCCCGAAGAGAUCCUUCCUAGUAGUUCCGUUCGACUUGCAUGUGUUAGGCACGCCGCCAGCGUUCGUCCUGAGCCACGGAUCAAACUACU